rnacentral:lncRNA from 1 species
AAACCCACUUAAGCAACACUUGAAGUACCACACUACUCUUUACAUUCUUUCGUCUUCAUAUUUCAAAAGCUCUCUAAUAUUAAGCGAUGGCUGUGUCUCCAAUCCAGUCGGUGCUUGGAAUGUUGGGUAUUAUGUCCAUGCAACACCGUCAUGCUGGGGUGCAUAUCAGCUCAUUUUAUCCACCUGUUGCACAAGUUUGGAACUCGUGGUUUAAUUAAGUCCUUUACCGCUUCUGGAUGAAGACUGAAAGGAUGUGUUUGUGUUAUCCUUUUAAGUAAUGUUAAUAAGCAUGGCUUUGACUGAUCCACUAUCUCCACUGGAGUGUGUGUGUGUGAAUCUCAAUGCUAUGAGCAAAUAAACUGUGUCUUUAUGUACUUCUAUUUCAUGUGCUCGUAAUAAAUCAGUCUUUCGGCCAAACAGUUAUUAAAUAUCUUUGCUUAAAAAUUUUUGAACAAAUAAUUUGUUUCCUCAUCAAAAUAUUUGAAAUAUAUAUUAAUAUAUAUUUUAAUUCAAGACUUAAAAAUAAGUUGCCUAAAUACUUUAUUUGAAACAAUCGAAUUAAUUUUUAACAAGACACGAAACAUAACUCCAAAAAAGAACAGAAAGUGUAUGUAAUGGUGUUGCAGACUGAAUGCAUUUCUUGUUUUCAAUAUGAUUGGUUAGUCACAACAUGAUAAAAGGUUUUUUACGAUCAGUUGUGGUUUUAGGUUAAUUGAAUUUAUAAAAUAAUUGAUGCAUUUAUCUAUAAUUUGUAAUGUUUUUUAACAAUUCUGUAAAACAUGGUUCUUUCUUAUGAAAUUGCCAAAUUACUAAAUAAUAGUUUCAGUACCAAUAUUUUAUAAUAAGUCCUAAACAUUAUAAAAGUGGUUAUUUUUUUUAAACAAAAGCUAUGGACUUUGGUUGUUCACAUUUUCCAAUGUUUUCUAUUUUUUUAAAAAUUAUUAGAUUAGAGAAUAAUAGCUCCAAUUGCCUAUAUUUUUGUUAAAAGUAGUUAUUUUUUGUAAAAGGAUUAUUCACAAAAUAAGAGUUCAUAUUAUCAAUAUUUUGUAAUAUUAUCAAAGAUCUUGUAAAAAAUGCUUCUUUUUUUUUUAUUAAAGAGUUGUUUAUAGAAUAAUAGUUCUGAUUACUAAUAUUUUGUAAAAUUUUCUAAUCUUUUUGUAAAAAAUAUAUAUAUUUUUUGUAAAUUUAGGUAAAACUAAGUAAAUUGUUAAAUUUAUCCCGACUCAUGCGUUGAUAAAAGGUUGUCCUCCAUCCAUAUUUUUGAUAGGGUUUUAGAUAGGUUCCAUAAUUAUUUUUAUGCAGCACAAUGUAUAAAUUUAUCUCUGUAUUUAUAUGUACAAAAUAUGGUAGCACUUUUAAUUUUUGCCAGUGUUAGAACUUACGUAACGUGGGAGCAAUAUUAGAUGAAAAAAUAAUUUUUUAUAAAAUCAUUCAAAAAUAAUAAAAUUGUAUAAUAAAAUAAUCAUGAAAUGUAUUACAAAAUUGUAUCUCAUUGAGAUAUGUUAAAAGAAAGUUAAAAUGCUAAGAUGUGUUUUCUUAAGUAUCCUGCGAAGCUUUUUACCAAAGUAUGCAAUAAAAAAAACUAUGCAUGGUAUAAUCUAGGGGUGUCAAAAUGGGUUGGUUUGUCAGGUUCGACACCAAUUCACCUAACACGCAACAUAAUUACGGUCAACAUAAAUACUAUCAAUUUAAUAUUAUUUUAAAUUUAUCAACAUGAACACGAUACGAAAAUUAGGCAAGUGAUAGGAACACGAUAAAUUUAACCCAACUAAUAUUAUAAACAAGUUAAGUAGUUCGUGUUGACCCAUAUACAACCCGUGUAAUCCGCUUGAUAUCAUAAACAAGUUAAAGGUCCUUACUGUUCUUAUUUUUUAUUUUUUUAAUUUUGAAUAAUUGAUAAAACUUGUUGGUCCCUACUGUUCUUUUUCACACGUGGCAAUCUUAUAGGCUUACACUUGGCUUCUAUAUAAUGGAAACUGAUUUUCUUUUCUAUAUUAUAUAGAUAUAUAGAUUUUGAUAUAUUUGAUACUUUAAUUUAUAAAAUUAUAUCCAUACAAUAUUUCAGCUUUUAAAAAUUAUUUUAUUGAAAAAUCGAAUUCGUAAAAUUGAAUUGAUUAAAAUUUACUAGAUAGUUAAAAUAUAUGAAAAUUAUUGUUUCAAAAAUUAUGCUAAUAACACAUUAAGUAAACAUUUUGCACGUAAAUACCAAAAACAUUAAAAAAAAUUAAUAUAACUAAUAUUAAAAGGAAUAAAAUAUUAUUAAAAUUUGUAAUUUUAAGAAUAUAAUAGAUUUAUCACAAAGUUUAGAAUCUAACAGUAUAUCCCUAAAAUAUAGGGAUUAAUUUAUAUAUUUGGCAUUUUUCUCCACGUUUUAGUAAGUUUCUGCGAUCUUACUUUCAUGACCACAAUCACACAAGCACAAGAAGCCAAGAAACCAUUAUUCGUAAGAUGCAAGACAAAGCUUUUUCUUCUUCAUAAAAAUGGACACAUAGCACAAUCAGUGUCAGCAAUUUGGGAAAGGAUGACACAAUAAAUUAUAAUUAUCACUCGCCAUCAGCUUUCUAUUAUUUGCGGGACAAGAGUAAGUGCACUUACCAACAGAAGACAAUGUUAAGGUUGAGGAGAAGGGUAGUGCAGUGGAUAUUCUUGCUUUUGCUAUAAUUUCUAUGUUUUGUUUAGGCUAAUUCAUAGCUACAGAAAUUAUCAUCUUAUCUAAAGUUUUUAUUUUUAUAUGUAUGUUGAGAUUUUUCAGAUUUUUUUCAUUUAGAGCAAGCUAGUAUGAGUGUAAAUGAGAAGUGUUUGUGGCUGAGUAUAAUUUUUUGAAUAAGCUAAAUUUUUCUGAAUUUAAAAUAAUAAAAUAAAUUUAUUUUGCCGAUUAAAAAAAUUAAAAUUAUAUGUAGUGGUUGUGGAUAUCCAACCUUUUUCUUUUUGUUUGAUGAGAUCCUGAUAAGUAUUUCUUUCAAAAAUUAUUUGGAUUCUGCAAUCUUCUGUCACAUGUAUUUGUCUUGCAAACCGUAAAAUUUUGAAUUUUCAGUAUUGGUUGCUAUACAUUUAUGAAAAUAUAUUUUCCUUUUUCAAAAGAAAAAAAAAUCUUAUACAAGUAUAACAACAAUCAUUAUCUAUCACUUGAAUCACUUGCAUCCAAACAUCAUUUGAUACUUUGUUAAAGUUGUCUACUUGGUACAACUUAAUUCUUUACCCGACGGCCGUUAAACAACACAUCAAGUAUUUUAUUCUAAGUUGAACAAAAAUGCCGGCUCUGUGUGUUUAUAUAUAUAUAUAUAUAUAUAUAUAUAAUUAAUAAUAAUAAAAAAAAUUCCUCCUUACAUUUCAUGUUUUUAUAUUUGGCCAUGCUUUAAUCUAUCAAUCAGUAUUUGUAACAUGUUUGGCCAUGCUUUAACCUAUCAAUAUCAAUAUCCAUUAUUGCUUUAUGUUCGAUGAGAUUUUAAUAAUUAAGUAUUUCUCUCACCAAUUAUUUGGAUUCUGUAAUCUUGUGUGACACAGUGACUUGCUAAUUGUUUAUGACUUGAUCCAUUCAUUUAUUAGAAGGAACCUAAUCGGCAUUAGUGCAAGAUUAACAUUAUUUCUGCUUACAAUUAAAAUGGCCAACCAAAUAUACGCUGAUAGAGUGUACCGUCUUUAGAAAACAAAUUGAUUAGUGUAUUUUUAAUAUAGUUUUUAUUAGGAUUUUUAGUAUUUUUAAUUAUUUUAAUUAGUUUCUAUUUAAUUUAUUUAUGUUUUUUUUCAAAGUUUCAUUGAAUCAUAUUUCACUUGAUUUUAAGAAAUUUUAUAGGAUUUUGAUAUAGAAAAGAGCAAAGUGAAAUAAAACUCUCAAAGGCUGGCACGUCUUAGGCGUUCAACUCAACACCCCAGUGCGGGAUUGAAGAGAAAUUAACAUAGAGACUCAGAGCGUAGCAUGCCCAAGCCGUGUAUUAAAAUUGUUUAGAUACGGCAGAGAUCUCUCCUUAUAUAAACUUAUUAAAGCUUUUUUAAGUCUAAUUAGGAAAACCACUUAAUUUGCAGAGGAAGAAAUCUAAUCACAAAAGAAAACGAUUAAGUCUUGUAUUUCUUCUGAAAUUAAGAGUCCAAUUGACCAAUUAGAAUUAGAACUCAAAUUAGGUAAUUAUCUUUGCGGUUCCCUUUUUUUUAACUUGAUAUUUAGCAAAUUUCUAAUUCUCUAUAAAAACCUUCUAGAACGAAAUCAAAAUAAUAAAGGAAGCAAAAAUUAAUAAUUAAAUAAAAUAUAAAUAAAACUAAAUAAAGACUAUCUAAAAUAAAUAAAAUACUACUCCCUCAGUUCUAAAAAAAUAAUCUCACUUUUUAUAAUGAAUGCCCCAAAAUAAUAGUGUCAUUUCUAUUUCGGAAAUAGGUUUUUGUUAACUUUCUUAUAUUCUGCCAACAAUUAAUAUAAGUAGACUUACAAAAUAUUCAGUCAAAAUAUAAAUAUAAAAUAAUAUAAAUUAAUUGAAACAUGUGCGGAGAUAUUAAUUUUUUUUACUGAAAAACUCUAUAAACAUUAAUCAAAAAAAUUUUAAUAUAAGGGUAUAAAUGAAAAAGAAGGAUAACUGAUAUAUUUAAACUAAUUUAACUAUUCAUUCUUAAUUUGUAUGAAAAAAGAGUGAGACUAUUUUUUUGUGACGGACAAGUAGAAAUUAUAAUAAAAAUUAUAUUAUAAAAAUUAUAAAAAAUAAACCUAUCACCUCUUUACAUUUCAUGUUUUUAAGAUAAAAAUAUUGAUGGGUUAUAUUUAUUUUGAAAUGUGAUUUUAUUAUAUAAAAUAGUGUUGAUGUUCGGAUUGCUGAAUGAUAAAUUGUGGCGGACUAUAUUAUAUGAUGUUUGAAUACUUGUUGCUCAUACAUUUGUUAUUCACAAAGGGUAUUUCAAUCUUCUUUUAAACUAGUUUUUUUUUUUUUACAACGUGCAUUGUAAGUUGAUCAUUUUCUUUAUAUAUUUAUUUUUUUAUCUAUAUAAUAUCAAAGUAUGAGUUUUGUUUAGAUUAAAAUAAAUAUAAAUGGUUAAUUUGUAUCUACAAACUACUUGUAAUGAAGUGGUCUCAAAACAAAAUUCAACCCAAUCUUUAGACCCACUUCUUUAGUUUCUAAUUUAUAAAUGCUGAUUUUUAAAAUCCUAAUAGGUGCCCAAAAAGAAAAUCAAAUCAUUACUCAAUCUUCAACCUCUGUCCUCAAUCUCAAAUCAAUAUUUAUAUACAACUAUAAUUAAAAAUAAUAAUAAAUUAUUUUUAUUGCUAGAUAAAAGAAAAGAAUUGAGAGGAUGAUCUGAAUUAAUAAUGAAAACUACUUUGGUUACAGUGGUAAUAUUAUUUACCCAGUAUAUUAAAGAAAUGAAUAUAUGCGCAUAUAAACAAAUACUGGAAACCCCCAAAUGUGACCCACACAGAACUAUAUAGUUCUAGUUUUAUUUCAGUUUUGUGGUUUGUUUUGCGAAUUCAUAACUUAAGAUUAUUAACUUAUGAAAACCCCUCGUGAGUCAAAUCAUAUAGUUUCGACAUCAAGUUAUUAUUCUCAUGUAAUUUGUUACCUUUUUCAUAUGAAAAACUCUUUUUCCGAUAGUGAUUAAUGAAAUAAAUCAAUCCAGGGGAAAAAUUCUGCCUCAAAGCAUUAAGUUCAAUAAUAAAUUAUACUUUGAACAAAGAAAAACAAAUCUAAUAUUAUAAAUUGGAAAAGAAUUCAAGCUACAUCAAAUCCCUAGGAUGAAGAUUUAGUUCGACAUAGUAAUUAAAUAAAACCCAAUAAUACUUGAACAAAAUUUCAUAAUAAGUGUGAAUAAUGAAAAGUAAAACAAGAUUAAGAGUUUAGAAAUAAAAACUAGGCAACAUAUAACGAGACGGCUUCCUUGAAUUUUUGCACGAAUCUUGAAUGCUUGAAGUCUUUGAGAGGGAAAAGAAACAGUCGAACAGAAAUUGUCAAAGACCAGAGAUGCCUCUAUAAUAAAUGGCCCCUCUCUUUAUAUAGACUUCUUGGGAGAAAAUUUGACUCUGUUUAGGAAAUAGACUCCUUAUUAAGUAAGAGAUCUUUUUGGAGAUAUGAAACUAUUUAGGCUUUAGAUUUCUUCUCAAUUAGGACUUUUUCCAUCUUCCUAAAUAGGAUUAGAACUUGUUUUGCACAUAAGAAAAAAUCAGAGGUGGGCCCAUGUAAGUUAUAGAAACUGGCUGGCGUUCUCAAUUUAGGACAUAAUCAAAUUUGUAGCAUGGGCGUGCUGUUUUGCACUGUCUGGGCGUGCCAGAGCCUGAGUUCCUUGGUUGGUUCAGCACGGGCCGUGCUGCGCAAUACGUCCAGAGAAAAUUCUACGGCACAUGCAUGCCCCAUAGCACGGGUAGGGCAUGAUAGGCUUUGACUUUCCAGGAUGAAAUGCAUCAUAGCUUAAGCACCCCCUGAGGUCUUCUUAGGCACGGGCGUGCUAAUGUGCACAGGCAGGGCCUGCUAGGGCUUGAAUGUUUUGCUUUAAUUUGCUCUUUUCUGUGUCAAAAUUCUGUAAAUUUCUUUAAAAUUAAGUGGAUUAUGAUUCAAUGAAACUUUGAACAAAAACAUAGAUAAAACUAAAUAAAAAUUAAUUAAAGUAAUUAAAAUUACUAAAAUUCCUAAUAAGAACUAUAUUAAAAAUACUAUAAAAAUAGCACCUAUCAUCUUCAAUAAUGUUAACUUCCCUUAUCUUUUUUUUUUUUUUUUCCAAAUGACCCUUAUCUUAUUAAUUUGAUUUAUAAUAAUUUAUAAUAGCAAUUUCUUUUAUUCACAGUUAUUUUUCAUAUUUUUAAGAGAAUCUUAUAUGAAUCGGAGUGUAAUUAUAAUUUUUGUAGUUAUAUUUUUCAUAUUUCUUUUAUUCACAGUUAUAUAUAUAUAGAUUUUGUAGUUAGUAGUAAACCCUAAACCUCUAUUUCUAGUCUGCUUCACCAGUUAUCUAGGUCAACACUAUGUCCGGCCGAUUUUAUUGCAUUGGUUCCAUGUCUUGUCAGGCUGGUGGCCUUGCCGACAACUUAAUUUGUAUACAAAAGUACCCAUAUUCUUAUGAAUUUUUUCUAGUGAAAUUUAAUAGUGCCGAUGAUAAAUUGGAUUUUAGGUAUGACAACGUGAUAAUAAUUCAGUAACAAUAGGAUAAAUAAGCUCAUUAUUAUCAAUAAUCAAUCAAAUUAUUCUACCUGUUAUUUAAUACCUCUUAAAUAAGCCGUUGUUGCUUGAUAUGAAAAAUAAAUUCUGAUUGAAAGCGUGAGACCUAACAUAAUAGGUUAAUAUCCAUAUAAUAUAAGAAAGCAGGCCGAGCCGGAUAUCUUGGCUUCAAUGAGUUUAUCACUGCUAUGCAAGUUUUAAUUUAGUACUUUUUCUGAAGUUUAUUAUUAUUAAAUUAAUUGUUAUUUACUGAUUAACUGAUGCUUUGAAGGGUAGUUAGUUUCUUUAGCGCAAGCAGGACAUGAAAUAACUCAUGAUCUCUUUUUUAUUGCACGUGCGCAUAAAUAAAUUAAAACAACCUUUAGCCCCAGCCAGGUGGCCAGGUAUGUUUAUAAAUUAUUGUCAGGUAUACCUAUUGUCUCAUUGAAACUCUAUUAUCACUUGAGUACAAAAACGACACGACUUCACUAUUGACUCAAACAACACAACAUAAUGAUAAGUAAGUUUUUAGGUUAUACCGUGUUUAGUUAGAGAUAAUGCAAUAUAAUGUAAUUAAAUAUAUAAUAUAAUAAAAAAUAUAAUUAAUGAAAUAGAAUAAAUUAAGAUUUUAUUAUUAUAUUUAAUAAUGUAAUUGAGAAAAUUUAUAUAAUAUAAUUACAAUUUUAUUUUUAUGUUAGUUUGUUAAUACCUAAUAUAAUUAGCGCACCUACGAGUGGCACAAGGCUGCCUAUUUGAGGUUACAUUGCUGCAACUUUGUAGGAGCGGAUUCCAUGGUUGCAACCUGUUGCGUAUUUUAUUUUAUUUAAGAUAUUAUAGGGGUUAAUUUUAGGAGGUUAAGCGAUGUAAUAAUGCACCCUACUAAUAGAUAAAUUUAUUUAAAUAUGAUUAUGAGAAACGUGAAAAAGAAAAACAAAACAAAGCCUUCAAAUAAAAAUUUUCUACAUUUUCUUUUUGAGGAAAAUAAAUAUAAAAGGUAAAUAGAAUGGUAUAAAACACAGCCUCUUAAGUUUUUGUUUACCUGACAAAUUUAAAUGCGGAGGUAUUAUCUAACAAUAAUUAAGAGGUAUGUCUUAGAGUGGGAUCCAAAGAUGAAAAUCGUAUACUAAAGGAGCCAGCUACUCUUCCAAGAAGAGCUGAAAGAGUGUCUUCAGUUGGAGACAAUAAUAUUGAGAUUCUAAAAAAAUUGGGUCCAAUUACUACUCUUUUAGCCACAUUGGUGGAAAAGAUAGAUAAAAACAUUGAGCAAAUAAAAAAAAAUAGUGCACAAAUUGAAGAGUUUUAGUCUUUUGUUGCUGAUUUGAGGCACUUUCACCAAGAAAUGGGUCAGUAUUUUGAGAUUUUUGAAACAUCUACCGAAGAAAAAAGUUGUCAAAAAAGUAAAGAUGCACUUGAAGGUAGUGAUCAUCAAGUACUCGUAGACUCAGAUGUGACCCAACCUCCUACACAAGAACCAUAAACAAAAUGGAAAUUUGUUAACUUUCAAGAUCUUUUUGCAAGUGAUGAGAUAGAUGACCCAGUAAGAAAAAUUAUGGAGGGCAUACUUGAUGCUAUUAAUGUUGAUCUAGGUAAGAAUGAUGAUAAUAAAUAGGUUAAUGUGGAUUUAUUGGUAGUAAUUCUGCACUUUCUGAUUAUUUUUUAUUUUUUUGUAAGUCACUUUGUGUCCUUUUGUUUUUAGUAUUUGUGCACUUUUCAAUAGUUUUUGGUUUCUCUAUGUUAGUUAACGGUUGUAAACUUUUGUAAGCUAUUUUAUAGCCUUUUAAUUAUUAAUUGUGCCACUUCUAUAAGCCAUUUUGUGUCCAUAUUUUUAGUACUUCUGCACUUUUUCAAUGAUUUUUUUCUGUGUAGUUAACGGUUCUAAACUUCUGUAAGCCACUUUGUGGCCUUUUAAUUAUUAGUUGUACACUUUUGUAAGUCAUUUUGUGGCCAUGUUUUUUGUACUUGUACACUUUUUCAAUGGUUUUUUAGUUAACGAUUCUGAACUUCUGUAAGCUACUUUAUGCCAUUUAAUUAUUAGUUGUGCACUUUUACAAUAGUUUUUUUUUUUUUUAGUUAACGGUUCUAACCUUUUGUAAGCUACUUUGUGGUCUUUUAAUUAAUAAUUGUGCACUUCUGUAAGCUAUUUUGUGGCUAUAUUUUUAGUACUUGUGCACCUGUUCAAUUGUUUUUUUUUUCUCUAUGGUAGUUAAUAGUUUUGAACUUCUGUAAGCCACUUUAUCGCUUUUUAAUUAUUAGUUGUGCACUUUUAUAAGCCAUUCUGUGGCCUUGUCAUUCUUAGUUGUGAACUUUUUCAAUUUCUUAUAAUGGUUAUACUCUUUCGUAAACCACAAUGUUGCCUUAUUAUUAUUAGUUGUACACUUUUCAAAAUGUAAAGUAGUCACACAUUUUGCUAGAGUGCACUUUUUAAAAAAAUUGUGCCUUCAAACUCACCCUAAAACUCGAAUUUUAGGGGAUCACUCAUAUUGUAGACAACCAUAGCCAUUUCUGCUUUAUUAUGUACAGGAUUCAAGUCUAGAGGAUGCAAAGUAAUGGUCAUUUUUGGAUAUUGUAUGACCUAUAUGGAUGUUUUCGAGAGGUAAAUAGAUUUUCCUUGAAUCAGAUCAUCAACUGUAAUUCCAUUUACAUGUGGCCAAUGUUUAGAAGUCGAAGAGUUUGAUUGUAAGCUCAAAAAAUUUGGCUCCAAAUUCUUUUUCAUUUUGGCCGCAAUGUAUUGCAUUUGGGCACUACUUUCUGAAUUUUAUUUAAAUUUGGAGAAAUCAAAUUUUGACUUUUAAUUUUGAAUUUAAAUUGAAAAAUUAUUCAAGUUUAAACAACUAAGAGCCAAAAUUUAAGUUUUCUCUCCUUUAUUUUCGCGUAAAUUUUGGAAAUUUGUUGCAUUCAAUGAAUAAGUUUGAAAAAUUUCCAUUCAUUUCUCAAUCAUGUCAUUACACAAGUAACACAACCCAAAAGGCAUGCGCCUAUUGGGAAAUGUGACAUAAGGACACGUGAAGGUUGCUUUUUCUUGAUCCGUAGGGGCUAUAGGGAUCUGGAAAUAACCAAAUAAUCCAUCUAAAAAGCAAUAAAAUCUAUUCCCUACUAGCCUUUGUAACAUCUGAAUAAUAAAAGGUAAGGGAAAGUGAUCCUUCCCAGUGGUUGAUUUAAGUUUCUAUAGUCGAUGCAUACUCUCCAUCCAGUCACUGUCCUAGUGGGAAUUAAUUCAUUAUUCACAUUUUUUACUGCAGUUGUAACAUCCUACUGAAUCGAAUCGUUGCAUAGAGUCGAGUCGAGUUGGGCCGAACAAGAACCCGGUUCGAGCCAUUUAAAUCCAGAGUGGGGUAGAAUGGGAUGUAACUUAAAUAAGUAAAAGAAGUGGACUUACUUGAAUGAAACAAAAAGAUCAAAGUAUAAGGAGUAGGACUUACUUGCACAGCAGUCAUCCCCCUUUCUUAGGAACUACCUGAACUGGACUCACCCAUGCACUAUCAGAAAUUGGAUAAAUAAUACCUGCUUCAAGUAGCUUUAUCACUUCCUUCUUUUCUACCCCUUGCAUAGCCGGAUUCAACCUCCUUCUACCCCUUGCACAGCCGGAUUCAACCUCCUUUGUGGUCGAAUAGUGGGCUUGUAAUCAUCUUCCAUUAAAAUCUUAUGCAUACAUCAUCUUCCAUUACUAAAGACUCUGUGAGACUCAAAGAAUAUAUCAUGAAUACAUCAUGCAAUACUAGCAGCCUAUAAAUGUUUCCCUACAAGCCCAAACAAAAUACGCAAGCCAGCUGUUAGACUUCAGAAAAUGUAAAAAAUGAAAAAACUGACAAAUACAAAUACCAGAGUUUCUAAGCUACAUGAAGACAAGCAAAAAAUAGUUGAACUGAUACGGAUCGAAUCAAAGAAUGAGAUGUAAGUUCGCCUCUAUGGCACCCCUCGUUUAUAAUGAAACGGAAACACCAAUAAUCGAGAUUAAACGCUCAAGGAAACGGUAACACCAAUAAUCAAGCAAAGAACAAGAUAAACGCCACAAAGAGUUGAUAAGUUUACCUUAAUUCUUGAUGCAAUUAGAGGAAGCAAUCUCUCACUAUCACUCUAAGCAAAGGAGUACAAGCUUGAACAAAUGAAGUUUAUCAAAAAUCAAAAGUUCCGUCCUUACAUGGAAGACAAGUUAUUUAUACUAAAUAAGGAAUCUAGGUUUAACAAAGCAUAAAACACACAAAACACGCCUAAGACACCCCAAGCCUUUAAGUCGAUGUCACUGUAGCGAGUCAAAUUUACUGUAGCAAGUCAAACUAAUUGAAACGGGCACUGUAGCAGGCGUGCUUUCCUCCACUGUAGCAGGCGUGCUUUCCUCCACUGUAGCACUGUAGCAGCGUGCUUUCCUCCACUUAAUAUGCCACCAACAACAUUAAAAGCCUAGGAAUGCCUUCAAGUUCCUCACAACACUUGUUGAAUGCGACAUCAUGAAGUUCUUGUGUUAUUUGGGCUUGAACAAAUAAUGAUAUGGCUGCCCCAUAUCGCUUGGCACGGCUCCUUGUAAUCGGUCCAAUAGGAAGCACCAAUGGAUCUCCUUCGUCGUUCACCAUGCCUCCUUGCGAUCCAGUGACGAGUGAUGAUGGAUCCGUAUCAUGAACAACCCCUUUUCUCUUAAGUGAAAUAUUUUAAUCAAAUCAACUCCAGGGAAUUCCUCAAGAUGACAUCAAGAAGUAGUCUCACGACAAAUCACUGCUUUCUUCUAAUGCCCAAACCCCAAUCAUUGUUACAUACCAACAAUGCCAACAAUUAAAUAUCAAAUCCCUCCCAACUCGGAAGCACCUAUAUAGAUAGCCAAAGGAGUGGUAUCUAUGUCACCUUUUCCCUUCAUAAUAUGCACACACACACUAACUAAUAGGUGCCUUAGAAAAGAAAGUUGAAUAAUAGUUCAUGGCAAGGACAUGAGUGCACACUAAUUCAGUGUUAAAGGUAAUAAAUGUUGAGAAGACUGAACUGAUUGAAGGACAAGAAGAAACUUCUAGCAUCUAGAAUAAGCCUUAUUAGACCAAGUUAUCAAGCUAUAAAGGACACUAGAGUGUCUUUGAUGAAGCUGAGCGGCUACAGAUUAUAAAACUGUAAAGGCCUCAUUCCUGGAUUUGCAGAGGUUUGGGUCACAAAUAAAUCAAGAAUCGACUAAAACUUGUCAUUUCCAAUUUAUCAGGCAGUUGGCACUAACAUAUUGCUCAUAUAGUCAGUAAACUUAAGCAUGAAUUAAACAUCUAAAGAAAACUCAGGCCUAAAUGCAGUACAAGCAAAUAAUUGAAUUGAUUUGGCAAGUUGAUCCAAGAUCUUCUUUACCAAGUUAAAGAAAAAAAGACCAGGAGAAACAAGAAUAAAUAUUCACAACAAAUUCAAGCCAGAAUAUCUACAUUAAAUUAAUAAGAAAACAACAACUUGCAACAUAAAAGUACCUGUAAAGCAUCUUGUUUGGGUGAAGAGGAUAACACCAUUGUGAGAAGUUCAAUGCUAUUUCUUGCCACAUCAAAUGCUUCCUUAGUUUGUUCAGCUGUAAAGCUUACCACGGGCAUAUCAUGCUGAAUCUGCUAAGCAAGAUUUGCAUCCACUUCCGGUGGUGAAACUGUACGAGGAGGGGUAAAGAUACGUGCCAAACUCUCAUUGUCACGACCAGGGAACCGGAUACCCCUUGAUCUUAAACUCUAUAAUAGCAAAGGAAAAUGCCCAAAAUAGGGGGAUAAAUGAGAGGAGAGUUCAAGAAGCCAUGACUUGGUGUUAGCCAAGAAUAGCCAAAUUUGAAACUAAGAUCUAAAACAGCAUUAUAUCAUAAACGAACACACAACAUCCUUGUGCAACUCAAACUAAGAUCUAAAACAGCAUCUAAAACAGCAUUAUAUCAUAAUUCAUUUUGUUUCAUAAUAAAUUAGGAAAUAAAUUAUCUAAUAGUCUUGGUAUUUGUAUCACUACAUGUAUCCAUGGAUUUUAACUGUAAAUCCAAAUUCAAAUAGGAAUAAAUAAAUGUUUAGAAUUAACUUUCUAUCAUUUUGCUGUCCAAUCUUUUGUCUCUGCAACGUAGAAAACAGGCAAAUGGUAGAGUAAACUUUUAAAUAGCAUAAAUAACAAAAGAUUAUAAUUUCACAAGUCAAAGCCAUGGAUUUACAUUUUUUAAGCUAAUAUUUUUAAUUCCUUAACUCUUUUCUAAAUUCAUAGUUAUUAUUUGGAAAGAUAAAUAGAAAGGCAAGAAAAGUGAUAAAAAAAAUACAAAAUUUUGUAUUUAAUGAGAAUCAAAUUCACCUUUAAUCUGCAUUUUAGCGAGUCACCAGCAAUAUUUUUUUAUUGCCUAAACAACCUAUAAUUUGAAAGUGCAGGCAAAAUAAUCAAAAUAACAUGUAAUCAAAGAGUAUGAAGGCAACAAAAUAGCAAAAAAAUUUUAAAAAAAACUCAAUCCAAGAAAAAUAACAACAAAAUAAAAACUCAAUCCAAGAGAAAAGCAAAAAAAAUAAAAAGUUCACCUGAUUCUGCAGUAAUGAAAUAAAAAGAAUAACAAAUACAAAUAAUAUAUAAGUAGAUAUAUGGUUAGAGAGAGAUAAAAAAAAAGGAGCAAUUCAAAAGCUUUCAAAUAAAAAGAUACAUAGCAAAAUAUGAUUAAAUUUGUUAGAUUCUUUCGUCAAAAAAAAAAAUUGUUAGAUUCAAUUUUCAAACAAAGAUGCAAUAUCAAUACAAUUCUUUAAAUAUAAAUAUGAAUAAAUUUUAAAAUAUAUUUUAAUGGCCAAUCAAAUUAUAAAAAUAAAGAAAAAAAAUAGUAAAAAGAAAAAAAAAGCUCAAAAAUUUGUUAAAAAAGAAAAAUAUGAAUACUUAAAAAAGUAGAGAGCCAACUAAGCUUUUGUAAGUUUUUUUUUUUUCAGGAUUAUAUAUAUAUAUAUAUAUAUAUAUAUACACACAUUAUAAUUAGGGGCGAAUUACUUUUUAAUCCCUGAAUUUUGGUGUAAUUAAUAAUCUUAUUCAUUUAUUUUGAAACACAAAUUAAUUCAUAUGAUUGGUUGCACUAUUAAGUUUUAUAUCCAUCCAUGAAACAAUUUGAUUUUGAUAGUGUUCAGCAAUAACUUUUUAACUAUGUUAUUUUUUUUAUAGUAUUCGGUAAUAUGACAUUUGUACUAAUUUUUAAAUGUUAAGUUAGCGUUUUAUAAAAAUGUUUAGCUUUUAAUAUUUUAUAAAAAGCUACUCAAACAGCUAACGACUAAACGCAACUAAAACAAUUAAUAGCUGUCAAAACAAUUAAUUUUGCUGAAGAGAUCCUUUAACUUUUAAUGUUAAGGUAGCGUUUUACAAGAACGUUUAGCUUUUAGUGUUUUAUAAAAAACAACUCAAACAGCUAACAAUUAAAUGCUACUAAAAUCAUUAAUAACUAUCAAAACAAUAAAUUUUACAGAAGAAAUCCUUUAGCAGUCAAAUAGAUAAAACACAGUCAAAAUUGAGGGAAAAUAUUUUGGUGUCAAAAUUAUUUUAUAAAUAAAUCUCAAAAAAGUAAUCAUUAAGUGCUAAAAGAAAAAUUAGAUUGUUAUUUCUUUUUCUUUUAUUGUUUUCACACUGAAAUUAUGGUACAAAGUUAUUGAUACAAUGCCGCAAUUUUAAGCAGACUGACAAACUCAAUAUAACACUAACAAAAUAACACAAUUUUUAAUCAACAACACAAAUACUAUCAAUUCUAUUGUGCUUGAUUGUGAAUCAAGAUGGUAUGUAUAAGUUGUGUGGUUGAAUAUAAAAUAUGGUUUCUGAUUAGGAAGAAGAUUCCACACUGGGAAGAUUGGUGGCAUUGAUAUAAUUUAUGUGAUGACUGGGGACCAAAUUGCAAGAUUCCAUUCGUCACUCUCUUUACUUUUUUGUAAUAUAUACAGUUUAAAAUUUACCUUCAUUGCCUUUUUAUCAUUCUUUCUAAAUUCUAAAUUCCUAAUUAAUAUGCAUGGUUAAUAAAGUUUAACUAAAACAAUGUAAACUGGAUCAAAUCUAAACCUUCCACCAAAUCUAUAAUCUGUUGAUUUCUUUACAUUUUCUGUCAAUUUUCUCCAAUCUCUUACAAUUGUUAGGGUAAAUUUAGUUAAAUGCAGGCAUAACAGUACAAAUACUUGCUGGUACAUUUGAAAUUGAAGGAAUAGUUCAUUACGGAACAGCAGGAAGUGUUAAUGCUUCAUUAACUAUUGCUGAUGUGAGUGUUCCAACUACGUUGCCUUUACGAGUUCUUGGAAAUGGAAGGUAAAACUUUUCAAUCUUCAUUUUCUUUAAUUUUCAAUUUUCUUCUACUUGCCUUUAAUCCACUUGGGAAGUGCAGGAGUUGAAGUCAGGGACAGGGAAAUUGCCAGAACUAAAAUUUGGAGACUUUAAUUUUCCAGGAAAAGGAGAAAAUUUAUUAGCAAAGAUAGAAUUCACACCAACACAGGUUUUUUCGAUUGGAAAAUCAAUGGAGGAGAUGUUUUGGCUUCCAAUAGACUCUAAAUGGUUUAACAUUGCUUCUCAACUUCUGGUUUGCCAUUUUCCUGAUUCAACACAUUGUACUAGAAACCGAAACUCGAUUUUCAAACCUAAACCUAAAAUAUUCUCGAUAAGAAUAUUUUUGACAUUUUGCAGUAUGUGUUUAUUUAUUAAUUUGUUACAUCCAAUUCUGCAGGAAAUAAAUUUAGAACGAGGUGUAAACGACACCUAUUGUUUGGCAGAAGCACCAAAAGUAGUGUUUGGAUUAAGAGGCUGCACUGCUUAUAUAUUCGUUGACAAUGCAGGGUAUAGAGAUUUUCUUUUCAAACAAUUCAGUGUCUCAACAGUAGAUGAAGAGAGUGCAGCUAUCGUCAUGGUUAGUAAGAACUUCUUUUAUUAAAUUAACCAAGUAGAAAAGUUCACAAAAUACAUAAUUAAAAUUGUAAAAUUAAUCAUAAUCAUUAUAAUUUUCAAUGGAUUUUAAGGCUUCUCUGUCAAAUGGAGUGCCUUGUGUUGUGUUUCGCGGGGUAUCGGAUUUAGCUGGUGGAGAACUAAAGCUGGCUGAGACGAGCUUCAGUCCUCUGGCUUCUGUCAAUGCUCUUAUUGCUGCGGUUGAGUUUAUAAAAUUAUCAGGGAAUAAGGUUAAGACUAAUACAUAUGCAGUGCAGGAAAAUUGAAACUAUAAACUCCAUCAACCCCUUUUCUUUUCUUUUCUUUGCUAAUGAUUAAUUAGACUGCUUGUACUCGCUAAUUUAUAAUCCUGUUGCAAAUUAUAAACUAGGGUUUUAUUGAGGUUGCAAUAAUAUAUUAUUCUUAUUGUUACUAUGAAAACAAAAUAUUAUUGACGAAUCAACUCCUCUCGCCUUCCUCUUCAAUUUGUUGGCUUCAAUCAUGAUUAUUAUUGACGAAAUCGGAAAUUCCCAAAAGGUGGCCGGCCGAUUUCCGGUCAAUCGAUAAAUGCCCACGCUAAAAUAACAUCACGUUCGUUAUCCUUGCUCUGAGACGAACUUUCUGAUGUAUGAUUUGCUAAAUUUGGGUGUAGUUGACUUUUCUCACCCACCAUGAACGGCGGCCGACAGCGAUUUUCCGAUCAGAUUCAGAAUAUAUAAUUAGUGUUGCGAUCAGAUAGUAAUUGACCCUUGAUUUAAUAAUUGAUGCAAAUUGAGAAAUUAGAUUGUGAAGCCGAAAUUCAUAGAAAAUGAAGGUAUCGGUAAUUUUCCGACCUUAGAACAGAUUGAGUUAGUUAUUUGUAAAGUAAACGGAUUGUUAUGGCAGGGGGACAGGUUUUUUUUUUUUUUUUUUUUUUUUUUAUAAUAUGGCAGGUGAACAGUUAAUUACCGUUAAACUUGAUUUAGAAAUUGUUUAAUUCAUACUUAUUCUUUUUAAUUAAUAAAAUAUAAAAUAAAAGGGAGGAAGAAAAGAAAAAAGGAAGUGCAAGCAUACUAAGGAUGUGGCGGAGGAGAGAUAUACAGUGAAAAUAGCUUCUGAAUUUUGGUUACAACUUUGGCAACGGAUAAAAUUUCUGUUGCGAACCCCUUUGCAGACUCUCAGAGGAAAACUUCUAUUGUGUUAUAUCUUUAGAAACGGAAAAAAAGUCCGUUUCUAACACGUUCAUAGAACCCUUCAUCAACUCUUGGCAAAGGAAAAAUAAUGAAACAAGAUUUGUUAAUUAAUAAAAAUAAUAUGAUUAAAAAAACUAAUAUAAUCAAUCUAAUUAAAUUAUAUAAAUAAAAUUAAAAUUUCUCUAAUUAGUGGGUCUAUCUCUUUAAGAUAUUUCAUGAUAAUGCUAUUGAGGAGGAAAAACUUAUAAGUUUGUAAUUAUUCGUGAUUACUAAACAAUUACAGUUAAUCUAUAGAUUUAAAUUAUAAGAACUAUAACUAAAAACUAUUCUAUUAAUUUGUAAAUAGAUAAAAACUAUUCUAUUAAUUUGUAAAUAGAGAGAGAGUUAAGGUUAUACUUAUCUCAGAAGAAAAUAUGAUUGCAAAUUCAAUAAUUCCAAAUUAGCAAAAACUUGAUGUAACAAUUCUUGAUAGUCAAAAGCAAUUAAAACUAAAAAUAUAUAUAGUGGUAUGAUAGGACAAGUUCCUAAUUAGAAUGAAUUAAAUUUAUAAUAUUAAUAUAAUAAAAAUAAUAAAUUGAUAUCAUAAUUUGAAUAGAAUCGGUAAUGAUAUUUUUGUCAAUUAACAAACUUAGUAUCGGCGUUUUAGAAAUCUUAUAUUCCCCUCAUUCGUACUUUUAUAUAUAUUAUAAAUUAUAAAUUAUAGAUUAUAGAUAUGGUUAUAAAGAAUUAAAAAUGCGAAAAUUUAAAAUAAAAAUAUUGAUGGGUUAUAUUUAUUUUGAAAUGUGAUUUUAUUAUAUAAAAUAGUGUUGAUGUUGGGAUUGGUGAAUGAUAAAUUGCGGCGGACUAAGUUAUCUGAUGUUUGAAUACUUGUUGCUCAUACAUAUGUAUUUCAAUCUUUUCAUUUAAACUAGUCUUUUGUAUAUGGUUAUAUAUUCAUUUUUUUAUCUAUAUAAUAUUAAAGUAUGAGUUUUAUUUAGAUUAAAAUAAAUAUAAGUACUCAAUUUGUAUUAUAUUUUACCGUACAAACUACUUGUAAUGAAAUGGUCUCGGAAUAAAGUUCAACUUAAUCCCUAGACCUACUUCUUUAGUCCCUAAUUUAUAGAUGCGGAUCUUUAAAAUCUUAAUAGGUUCCCAAAAAGAAAACCAAGUCAUUACUGAAUCUUCAACUCCUGCCCUCAACACCAAAUCAAUAUUUAAAUAUAACUAUAAUGAAAAAUAAUAAUAAAUUAUUUUUAUUGCUAGGCAAAGAAAAGAAAUGAGAGGAUGAUCCGAAUUAAUAAUAGAAAUUACUUUGGUUACGGUGACAGUAUUAUUUACCCAGUGUAUCAGAGAAAGAAAUAUAUGCGCAUAUACACAAAUAAUGAAAUUCCCAAAAUGUGACCCAAAUAGAACUAUAUGACCCAAACAAAACUAUAUAGUUCUAGUUUUAUUCCAGUUUCCUAAACACUAUUUUCUUUUAAUCAAACAGAUUUAGGAUAUAAGAGAAAAAAUAUCAAGAAAAUUAAAAAUGUUUAAUCAUCAAUAAAUCAUCUAUUUAUUGCAAUGGGAUAUAAAUCUCUUAAAAUGAUAAUAGUUACAAAUCAUUCAAUAACGAAAAAGAAAAUAAAAAAUUAUUAUUAAGAAUAAAACUCUUUUAAAACUCAUCUAAUAAUAAAAAAGCAUUUCAAUGUAUAUAGAGAUAUAUGAAUGUAUCAAUAAAAUAUUAUAUACUGUUUAAAUUAAAAUUUUCAACUGUUUACCAUCCCAAGUUUAAUUAUGUACAUUCUAUUUGAAAAUUUAUUUUUUUAAAAAAUACAUCCAAUCAAAUCAUACAAACAUAAAAAAAGAAUAUUAAUAUAAAGAAUGUAUUUUCUUUCUUUUUUUUAUCUAUACCCUAAAAGAAUUAAAUAUUUAAUAAAUAAAAUAUAAAAAUAUUUUCAAAUGUCUCAUUAUCAUAUAUAUUUAUUAAAACAUAAAUUUAGUAAAAGUAAAACUUAAAUUUUAAAUGCUGAAUUGUAUAUAUAUAUAUAUAUAUAUAUAUCAUAUAUAUAUAUAUAUAUAUUUUUAAAAUAUAAAUCUUUUAUUCGUUAGGAGGAUUGAUUGCCGAAAUUACACUGCGAGCUACACAACAAAAAAUAAUCCUCCACUCACCAAAUUGGUGAAAAUACCUUUGGUCGAGAGGAUUCGAACUCGAAACAUCUCACUCCUCACAUAAGUGAGAAGACAAUCAGACCACACAUAAUUGACUUGAAGAAUAAUUUUUAUAAAUACAUCAAAUCAAUUAAUAAAAUGUAAUUUUCUAAUUGACAAUAACUAAUGUUAUUUUAAGAUAUCCUAAAUUUCAUUAAGUUCUCUAUUAAAAAUCUCAUUAUGUUCGAUCUUUUCUAUACUGCAAAAUAGUUAUCAAAGAUCUUUGUUGAAAAAUAUUUGAAGAGAUAAUUUAUUUUCUCAUCAAAAUAUUCAAAACACGAGUACAUUUUUUGGUAUAAUUAACAAGUAUAUUCAAAAUAGUUUUUUUUUUUUUUUUUUCUAGAAGCAACAUCUAAUACAAGAGAUGAUUGAAAAAUAUAGGUAAAAUAUGAUUUUCGCUGUAAUGUUGAGUUUUGACAAUUAAAGUUUUAUUUUUGUUUUUAGAAGAUACACAUUAAUUAAUAUGUUGGUAUAAUUAGGAGUAAGGAAACAUUGCAUAUGUUCUCAACAUUUAAGGGAAAAAAAAGAUUUCUUAAAUACUAUUGGUGUCUAACCCAUUUGGUAAUUUUUUUUCACUUGAUUGUAUCUUACUUUGGCUUCUUCACAAGAACUCGAAUUGAAUUGCAUCAAUUUUUUAAACUCUUCUUCUUGGGCACGGUUUUGAAUUGAAGAAAUUGGAAAAGAAAUUGAAGAAAUUGGAGAAUUACUCCACAAGGCCAUGAAUCCACUUUUGGACCCUCGUAAGCCCGCCGUGCCAUCACCUCCGGCGCCGUGAAAAUUGGUGUUCCACAAGCUGUCUGGAGAAUACAUCUGUCGUUUUGGGUCCCAGCAGCAAGUCUUUUGUUUUUAUAAGCGGCAGCUUGUUAUUUGUUGGGUUGCAACUUGAAAGGUUGUUUUGAGUGCAGCCAGGUGGCCAUUAUUUGGUGUAUAAUUCCCGAAAUUUUGCUUUUUUUUUUUUUUUUUUUUUUGGUUAAAGGACUGAGAUGGAAGAGGAAGAGGUUGAGAUGUAGAAGAUGAGGACAAUUUUGUCUUUUAUAGUAUAUUUAACGGUAAAAGUAGGAAAAUUAUACGGAAGGGCACGAUUGUUCAACGAAGUCAAAAGUUAAGGGCAAAAUAAUAUAUUUCUAAAACCGCGAGAAUAUGCUAGUUAAUUUUAACAAAAUAUGAGGAUAAAAUCAUAAUUUUUCCUCUAUAAAAUUUGUGGCGAAUUUCCUCGGGAACAUAAUCUGAGCUCUAAAUUUUGUAUUGGAAUUUAGUACAAAAACUUUAUAAUUAAAGAUCAUUUUUUAGUACUUCAUUUAUGAAAAUCAUGUACAUAGUUUAUAAAUUUAUAUUAAUUUUUUUGUGCAACAUAUACAUUUUGUUUAAUGUACAUAUCUUGAAAAUAAAGUUCUGCCACCUUAGGAAAAAAAAAAAAAAAUCUUACACUUCGUUCUGUAUAAAAGAAUGCAAAUAGAAUUCACUUAUGAAAGAAUUCUAGAUUCAUUUCUAAAUGAAAUUUUCAAGUUUGGAAUAAAUUUAAAAAUUGCAAAUUCAUUUGCUUUUAUUAGUAAGAUAUCAUUUGCAUCAUAAUUUUAGAAAGCUAAAAGAGGAUGGAAAGUUUUGUCACAAAGCUUGAAUUGUUUAAGCUUGUAUAGAAGAUUUUGUAAUAAAGUUUGAAGGAUUUAAGUUUGUAAAAUUCAUUUGAAAAAUCUAAAAAUUUUUUUAUGGAAUUUAAUUUAGUUAAAUUGAAAUCUAUAGAAUUGAAUUUGUAAAAUUUAAAUUUUUAUAUUUUUCACAACAAAUAUAAAAAUUUGGAUUUAUAAAUGAAUUUCACAAAAUCUUGCUGUGAAAUUCAUUUAUUCCAGACAAGAGUUAAAAGCUAAAAAAAAAACUAUAGUAACUUUUUAAUAGCUGUUUUGGUAGCUGUUAGUUAUUUUAAUAACAUUUAAUUAUUAGCUGUUUUAGUAACUUUUUAUAAAACGCUAAAAGCUAAACGUUAUAUGGAUUAACUUUUUAUAAAACGUUACCUUAACUUCUAAAAGCUAAUUCAAACGCUUUAUUACCGAAAACUAUAAAGAAUGACAAUUAGCGUUUUGAUCGGUCAAAACAUUAAAAAUUACUUUAAAAGCUAUCGCCGAAUACAGUUCUAAUACAUAAAUUUACCCUUGAAAUUUAUGCGAUUUAUCUUAUGAUACUUUUAAAUUUGCAAAAGACUUAUUAUAAUCUUAUAUUUUCACAUUUCAAUAAAAAUUAUAUCUCUCCCAAAAUGAAAUAAGUUUGUAAGAGUUAAAUCAUUAUCUUACAACAACAAACAUUCACAGGUGCAAAAAAGAAAAAGGAGUUGAGUACAACACUAGAUUCGAAUGUUAAGAAUGAUGCAAUAAUUGCCUUCAAUGAAUGUAGUUUGUGGACCACGAUCGUGCAUUAUCCAUCGCACACUUUAAGUGAUAGUACGAAUAGAUAUUUCUACUUUUUUUAAAAAAAAUACGAACCAUUGCAUUUUAUUUGACAUGGGAAUAAAUAAAGAAAAAACAUCCUUUAGCCCAACGAGGUGGCCAGGCAUGUCUAUAAAUUAUUGUUAAGUGAAACGUAAUGUCUCAUUGAAACUCCAUUAUAACUUGAAUACAAAAACGACAUGACUUCACUAUUGCCUCAAACAAGACAACAUAAUGACAAUUACGUUUUUGGCUUAAGGUUAUGUAUAAUGCAAUGAAAAAUAUAUAAUGUAAAGAAAAAUUAGUUUUCAAAUAUAUAAUGCAAUCAAAAAUAUAAUGAAAUGUAAUAAAUUAAAAUUUCAUUACUAUAUUUAGUAAUGUAAUUGAAAAAAUUUAUUUAAUAUAAUCAUCAUUCUAUUUUUACAUUUAUUUAUAAAUAUGUAAUAUAAUUAACACACUACCACUAUUAAAACCAUCACCACAACUACUGUUUUACCACCAUCACCACCACCAUAACAUUCACUCCACCAUCACCACCACCUCAGCACCACUCCACCACUAACCAUGCAUCAUUAUUAAUACAUAAGAAAUAUUUAAACAAAAGCUAUUCACUAUAUUAAUUAAUUAAAGAGCAUUUAAAUUUAUAAAUUUAUUUAAAUAAAAAAAUUAAUAGAGAAUAAGUCUGAGAAAAUAUAAUAUAACAAAAUAAAAGUUUACAUAUUUGGAAAUUAUAUAUUUUCUAAGCUAAAUUCAGCUUUUCGGAGUUUAUCCAUCAAAUAUCUCCUCGCAUGAUAUACGUGGGGUCUCUUAUGACAAUUUAUAUGUAGUUUGUGGACAGAGUGCCCCUCUACCAUUUUGUACUUGAAAAAAAAAAAAAAAAAAAAAAAAAGACUAGUCAGCUUCUGGUACUUGACAUGCAACUUUAAAAAUUCAAUAUCGGUUAAAUAGCUUUGACGUUUUCUCAAUUUUUAAAUAACUUAAUUUUUAUUAAAUUAAAAUUAAAAUUAUUGUUUUAUUUUUUAUUGAAAAAAUUAAUCUUUUCAUUAUAUGAUGCCGAAUUAAGGUGAUAAGCGAUGGCUGUGUCCGCAAUCAAGUCGGUGCUUGGAUUGUUGGGUGUUAUGUCCAUGCAACAGAGUCAAACUGGGUUCAAUAUGAGCUCAUUUUACCCACCUAUUGCAAACUUUGUUCGUGUACCUUGGCGUUGAGUCUGAAAUUCUGUUUAAUAUUCGUCCGUGCAGCUUAUGAAGACUGAAAGUCUGUGUUUGUGUUAUCCUUUUAAGUAACGUUAAUAAGCAUGGCUUUGACUGAUCCACCAUCUCCACUGGAGUGUGUGCGUGAAUCUCAAUGCUAUGAGCAAAUAAA